rnacentral:rRNA from 1 species
AGACAACUAGGAUGUUGGCUUAGAAGCAGCCACUCAUUAAAAGAGUGCGUAAUAGCUCACUAGUCAAGAGAUCCUGCGCCGAAAAUGUCCGGGGCUCAAACUUACCACCGAAGCUACGGGUUCACACUUUUUGUGUGAGCGGUAGAGGAGCGUCGUAAUCGGGCUGAAGUCGUACCGUAAGGAGCGGUGGACUGAUUACGAGUGAGAAUGUUGGCAUUAGUAGCGAGAUGUGGGUGAGAAUCCCACAGGCCGAAUACCUAAGGUUUCCUCAGGAAGGUUCGUCCGCUGAGGGUUAGUCGGGACCUAAGCUGAGGCCGAAAGGCGUAAGCG